UACAGAGGGGGCAAGCGUUAUUCGGAAUUACUGGGCGUAAAGGGCUCGUAGGCGGCCAACUAAGUCGGACGUGAAAUCCCUCGGCUUAACCGGGGAACUGCGUCCGAUACUGGAUGGCUUGAGUUUGGGAGAGGGAUGCGGAAUUCCAGGUGUAGCGGUGAAAUGCGUAGAUAUCUGGAGGAACACCGGUGGCGAAGGCGGCAUCCUGGACCAACACUGACGCUGAGGAGCGAAAGCCAGGGGAGCAAACGGG
rnacentral:rRNA from 1 species